rnacentral:piRNA from 1 species
UAGAGACUCACGUGUCAGAGGUCC